rnacentral:rRNA from 1 species
GAUGAACGCUGGCGGCGUGCCUAAUACAUGCAAGUCGAGCGAACGGACGAGAAGCUUGCUUCUCUGAUGUUAGCGGCGGACGGGUGAGUAACACGUGGAUAACCUACCUAUAAGACUGGGAUAACUUCGGGAAACCGGAGCUAAUACCGGAUAAUAUUUUGAACCGCAUGGUUCAAAAGUGAAAGACGGUCUUGCUGUCACUUAUAGAUGGAUCCGCGCUGCAUUAGCUAGUUGGUAAGGUAACGGCUUACCAAGGCAACGAUGCAUAGCCGACCUGAGCGGGUGAUCGGCCACACUGGAACUGAGGCACGGUCCAGACUCCUACGGGAGGCAGCAGUAGGGAAUCUUCCGCAAUGGGCGAAAGCCUAACGGAGCAACGCCGCGUGAGUGAUGAAGGUCUUCGGAUCGUAAAACUCUGUUAUUAGGGAAGAACAUAUGUGUAAGUAACUGUGCACAUCUUGACGGUACCUAAUCAGAAAGCCACGGCUAACUACGUG